CAAAAUAGUGAUAAGUUAUUUCUUUCACACAGGUACCACUGAACAAAAAAAUUCAGUUUGUUGAAUGACCUUAAAAUUUUCUGUCACACUUUUCUCAGAUAGUAAAGGAGUACAUCAGUUCAAUGUAGGAUAAACAAGAAUUUCAACUUCAACUUCAUCAAAGACUACCUUGACCAAAAACUUAAACCUGAAGAGGGACGGACAGAUAUCAUGUAAAAUUCAUGAUCAAAAAAGCCUUUGAAGAUGUAGAUGACGACAAAUUUCCCCAAAACUUUGGGCCAAAAAAUAAAAAAAGUUGAUGACUUUCAUUUGGUUUAAAAUUCCAAACAAAUGUUAGGGCCUAACUUAAAUCCAUAUUUUUCACUUCGAAAAUGGAUGUUAGAUUAACAAAACUUGCAG
rnacentral:lncRNA from 1 species